rnacentral:rRNA from 1 species
UACGUAGGGUGCGAGCGUUGUCCGGAAUUACUGGGCGUAAAGCGCACGUAGGCGGGUCGUUAAGUCAGGGGUGAAAUCCCGGAGCUCAACUCCGGAACUGCCUUUGAUACUGGCGACCUUGAGGCUGGAAGAGGUUAGUGGAAUUCCCAGUGUAGAGGUGAAAUUCGUAGAUAUUGGGAAGAACACCAGUGGCGAAGGCGGCUAACUGGUCCAGAUCUGACGCUGAGGUGCGAAAGCGUGGGGAGCAAACAGG